UCACUUAUCGCGAGAUCUCGUCAUUCUCCUGAAGGCUGUUGAAGAGAGAAGAAGGUCGUCAGCCAUUCUAGUCAGUUUCGCCUCAAAGUUUGGACAUUUGACUAGAAUACAACUUUGAUUCAGCGCAGAAUUCAAUAAUCCUGUGGAUGGACCGCAGCGAAUCCUUUUGCAGUUUAAUCCAUCAAAAUGCUAUGCAGACAUAAAGCAAAUGGCAUUUACAUGGUAGAGCUUGGACAAAGUUCACACAGGCUCUGCGCAGGAAUUCAUCAAGGACAUGACUGCUGGGAUUACACUUGUGGAUGACCAAACUGAGCACCAUCAGUCUGCAGUGAUGUGGUCCAGCCAUCCAGUGAGAUUAAGGAUGUUGAGAAAGAAAUUGAAGAGGGCAUUCUGAAUAUAACUGAGGAGCAGCAACGUGGUGUGCUUCCCAAGGAAUAACCAACAUUGGUCUCAUUUUGACAUCCUGUCAUCACUGACAUCUCCCAUGUCCCCAAGGCAUUUGGACUCCUAAUGGGUCUGUAUGCAGUGAACAUCACUACCUCCAGUGCAUUAAAUACACCAUUGAGGCUGUAAAAUUGAGUGGCUACAGGUAGCUCUUCUCUUUUAAAUGUAUUUGCUGGUUGGCAACAGAUCCACAACGGGGCGUCCAGUAAAAGACUUGUACGGGAUUAACCCAUUUAUUGUCACCACAGAAUUUGCAUGAGUGUGUGUGGUUUUCUACAAAUAAAGAUAAAAAGAAAAUAUAUAUAUAAAUACAAAUAACAACAGUGGUCACAAUGAGUAUAACAACAACACAGUAUCUACACAGAGAAUAUAUUAAAUACAGUGAUUUAACAAUCAAAUAAGAAACAUGUGCAAUUAUAUGGGAAAAUGCGCUGUUAGAAAUGACUAAUAAUGCACAGUUGAAAUCUGACACCUCUCAGCGCUGAGGACAGAGAUGGAGCCGCUCUGUCUAGAACAUUAGUGCGCAUGCGCCAGAAGAGUGCUUUAACUCUUAGAAAUGAGCGAUACAUAUUAGAUAUAUAUUAAAUAAACCAUAUAAUGAUUAAAUAGCACACAGAUUAUGUCCUUAAAACAUAGCGGUAGUAUAUGUGAGAUAACUAGUAUGUAAAUACACACGAACAUCUUUACCAGCGAGUUCGUCUUUGUCAAUCGCAUGCAUUAAUUUAUAAACACUCAAAGCAGUUCAAUGUUCACAAGCAAUAUAGAAAGCAAUGGAUGAGCAGACUGUUACUCACUUUUUAGGCAUGCACACAACUUUGGCAAAUAUAAAUCGCUACAGUGCAGCUCGCAUCUGUCCGCUUUCCCGAUCGCUCUAACUCCGUUCUGUGGGCGGGACCGCUGACCUUUCGCAUCCUGCAUGUAGUCCUGAUUGGCUCACAGGAUGGAUGCUGCGUGUGCGUUGAGUGUGGUGUAUUGCAGGGGAAGCUUAGCCAAAUGAAUAUAACCUGCGUGUGGCCUUUUUUACAGAGGCUCUGCAAAAACUUGUGAAGACCAGCUGCUCCCACCAUGUGCUCGCUACAGCCGCAGGAACUGUAG